rnacentral:snRNA from 1 species
AUACCUUUCUCGGCCUUUUGGCUAAGAUCAAGUGUAGUAUCUGUUCUUAUCAGUUUAAUAUCUGAUAUGUGGACCAAUGGUUCACACGAUAUUAAAUUUAUUUUUUGAGGGGGAGAGUCCGCCACAAUAGCUUGCUAUUGGGUUUCUCAAGUGUCGCUUUUGUGUUGCACUAUUGCAAUUGCCUGGCACACCCCAC